UACGUAGGGGCUAGCGUUGUCCGGAAUCAUUGGGCGUAAAGAGCGUGUAGGCGGCCCGGUAAGUCCGCUGUGAAAGUCGGGGGCCACCUACGAAUGCCGGUGGAUACUGUCGGGCUAGAGUGCGGAAGAGGCGAGUGGAAUUCUCGGUGUAGCGGUGAAAUGCGUAGAGAUGUGGAGGAACACCGAUGGCGAAGGCAGCCUUCUGGGCCAACACUGACGCUCAUGACACGAAAGCGUGGGGAGCAAACAGG
rnacentral:rRNA from 1 species